UCCGGUUUGACACCGGCAGUCUCCUAUGAGUCCCCGACAUAACUCGCUGGCAACAUAGGAUAGGGGUUGCGCUCGUUGCGGGACUUAACCCAACACCUCACGGCACGAGCUGACGACAACCAUGCACCACCUGUAUACGGCCCCGAAGGACACCAUAUCUCUAUGGCUUUUCCGUAUAUUUCAAGCCCUGGUAAGGUGGGGAUGACGUAUGGAAUGUCGAUA
rnacentral:misc_RNA from 1 species